AGCACAACAGAUUUCCCAGUGUCCGAAUCAGAAACAUGAGGAGCCUUAGGUGCAGCAACUCCUCCACCAGAAUUGGCUUCUCGUGCAUCAUGAUGCACUUGUUCUUCUCCCACACAUUGACCUUGUUCUUUGUCAUCACAUCCAUCCUGAUGCUUUUCUUCUUGUUCUUUUUGUUCUUCGUCAUCACAUCCAUCCUGCUGCAUCUGUUUUUGUUCUUUCUCUACAUAAUGAUCCUUUGAAGAUUCUGCUCGCUCUCCACCCUCAAGAAUUCUGCCAUCCUUUUCCCGUUCUUGCUUCCCUUCCUCACCUUCUAAGGUCUCAAACUCAUGAGUU
rnacentral:lncRNA from 1 species